AGGAGACGUGAUGUGUUUGGUCUGACGACCCUUAUAUCCGGAUAGGAGAUCCUGGAUGAAGCUGUCAGGAGGUUCCAGUCAUUAGUCCCCCACCUCGUGUAAAUGUGGUUUUCUACUUUCAGACUUGGUUUUCCUUGUUUUGUAAUCUACAUACUUGUGAUGUGUAGAUAUUGUACUCGUGGAUUUUAUAUCCAGUUUUGGGUCUACUACCCUUGUUUUCCACUGUGAUGGUUUUCCGUUGUGGGUUGGGUUUUCCUCGAGUAGUGGAGUAGAUUGUAUAAUAAACUGCGUGUUGUGAUGUGUUGUGGAGUUAGCCGGAGACUGAUUUAUUAUAAACUGCAUGAA